rnacentral:tRNA from 1 species
GUCUCGGUAGCUUAGUUGGUAAAGCGCUCGUCUAGCAUACAAGAGUCCUGGGUUCAAAUCCCAGCCAAGCA